rnacentral:lncRNA from 1 species
GAUCUUGAGUGUGCCUUAAAAUUCCAUUUCAUGGAGAACUGUGCGUGGUUGAAUUUUGAUUGAUUACUCAAUUAACUGAUGUAUUGGUAGAGUGAUUAAGAAAGAAGACUUUGGGAUCAGACCAACCUGGUUUUGAAUUCAAGCUCAGCAACUUACUAGGUAAGGAGGAGAAAAGAAAGAAGGAAAAAUUGGAAAGAUAAAUGGGGUCUUUCCAGUGAAGGCUCAAUUUUCCUACAUAAUUAAGAGUUUGGAAUUCGGGCAAUAUCAAGAACCACAUCUGUCCUGAAAUCAAUUAUCUCUGUUUGGAAUAUGGAUAUGAGAGAUCACUUUGCUGUGCUGUAAAUGAUCGAUUAAAAUACAUAUUUCUCUCCUGACCCUCUGGGCCUGCCUUUCCAUGCAGUACCCUUGUUCUCUGAGAGUGAGGAGGUCUGUGUUUUGAGCCUUCCUACAUGGCCAUGGUCCAUGCCUCCUUUACUACAUCAGAUCCACCUAGUCCCUGGACUAAUCAGAAACACAAGAAAUAAGAAGACCAUUUUGAGAAGAACAGAGAGUAGCCUUAAGAAAAUCCCUGUCGCAAGCACUCUGGGAUUUGGACUCAAAUGCUAAUUAUACAGAACCACUUGGGUGCCCAGCUGCUGUCCAUUCUCUACACUUAUCCCACCUGAUGGAAGGCUGUUAAGAAAAACAUCACUGCAAUGCCUAAUAAACAGACAUGGGUCCCAGACCCAAUAAGAGUGAAACCAUCCCCCUAUUUAAAUGAAAUUAUGGCUGAUGAGAAAGACAAAUUAAUUUCUCUGUCCCUAGUAUUACACAAAACUUUGGAUGCUGCCAUUGUUACAAUUUUAUUUUCCCCAGGAGCUCAGAGUCCCACCUUCAUUCUUUUUGUUUAAUGCUUAAGCUUGCCUGUCCACCUAUGGAAGACUAGAAUGAGCAAAGACCAUGUAUUCAAUGAUCUGUAAAUCUAACAGGAAACAAUAUAAUAAAUAUAUUGUGUUUGCUAACCAAA